GUUGUACGUGUCUUCAGAAAGGGGUCUUACCCAGGUGUCCCUGCACAGGUGUGCCGUUUAUGGCAAGGCCUGUUCAGACUGCUGCCUGGCCCGCGACCCCUACUGUGCCUGGGAUGGAGAACACUGCUCUGCUUUCACCCAGGCUACCAAGAGGAGAAGCAGAAGGCAAGAUAUCAAACACGGAGAUCCUCUACGGCAGUGCAGAGGAUUCAAUGCUAAAGUAGAGAAGCAUCUGAGGGAGACGGUGCAGUUUGGGGUUGAGGGGAGCAGCACGUUCCUGGAGUGCCAGCCAAGAUCCCAGCAGGCCUCCGUCAAAUGGCUCUACCUGAAGGACGGCAAGCGAAAAGCAGUAAGACAC